GGGUUGUGAGGUUAAGCGACUAAGCGUACACGGUGGAUGCCCUGGCAGUCAGAGGCGAUGAAGGACGUGCUAAUCUGCGAUAAGCGUCGGUAAGGUGAUAUGAACCGUUAUAACCGGCGAUUUCCGAAUGGGGAAACCCAGUGUGAUUCGUCACACUAUCAUUAACUGAAUCCAUAGGUUAAUGAGGCGAACCGGGGGAACUGAAACAUCUAAGUACCCCGAGGAAAAGAAAUCAACCGAGAUUCCCCCAGUAGCGGCGAGCGAACGGGGAGCAGCCCAGAGCCUGAAUCAGUGUGUGUGUUAGUGGAAGCGUCUGGAAAGGCGCGCGAUACAGGGUGACAGCCCCGUACACAAAAAUGCACAUACUGUGAGCUCGAUGAGUAGG
rnacentral:rRNA from 2 species